rnacentral:rRNA from 1 species
AUUGAACGCUGGCGGCAGGCUUAAUACAUGCAAGUCGAACGGUAACAGCAGAAAAGCUUGCUUUUUGGCUGACGAGUGGCGGACGGGUGAGUAAUACCUAGGAAACUGCCUAAACGAGGGGGAUAACAUUUGGAAACGAGUGCUAAUACCGCAUAAUACUGAGAAGUCAAAGGUUGGUUUACCAAUCGCGUUUAGAUGUGCCUAGGAGGGAUUAGCUAGUUGGUGGGGUAAAGGCCUACCAAGGCGAUGAUCUCUAGCUGGUCUGAGAGGAUGACCAGCCACACUGGAACUGAGACACGGUCCAGACUCCUACGGGAGGCAGCAGUAGGGAAUAUUGCACAAUGGGGGGAACCCUGAUGCAGCCAUGCCGCGUGUGUGAAGAAGGCCUUCGGGUUGUAAAGCACUUUCAGUUUGGAGGAAGGUAUUUGAGUUAAUAGCUUAGAUAUUUGACGUUACAAACAGAAGAAGCACCGGCUAACUCCGUG